rnacentral:rRNA from 1 species
UACAUGGGGUGCAAACGUUGCUCGGAAUUAUUGGGCGUAAAGCGCACGUAGGCGGUUUGUUAAGUCGGAUGUGAAAUCCCUCGGCUCAACUGAGGAAGUGCAUCCGAAACUGGCAAGCUUGAGUACGAAAGAGGGUCGCGGAAUUCCCGGUGUAGAGGUGAAAUGCGUAGAUAUCUGGAGGAACACCGGUGGCGAAGGCGGCAUCCUGGACCGGCAUUGACGCUGAGGCGGCGAAAGCCAGGGGAGCAAAGCGGG